rnacentral:lncRNA from 1 species
UUUUUUGUAUCUUCUUUGAUGGGAUGCUUGACCUCUGCGGGAGCUGAAAUCUCAUCUGAAUACGAAGGUUCUCCGUCACAACAUGAUAUUGUUGGGCCAUCUAUUUCCUUAAUGCUUUUCACACAAAGUCCUUCAAUUCAUCAAAUAAAUAUUGAAGUUUUUGCAUAUCGCACUGUAAUUCGAUGAGUUCUUCGCGAACAAUCGUUGUGAAUAAAAUAAGCAAGAAGGGUUAAUGAAAAAUAACACUUCCUCGCAAUCACUUGUUUUCAAUUCUUAACUCUCAACACUUAAGCUUCACUUGCCAUUCUCGGGAAAGUGAAGAUAUACUCAACUCUCAACACUCAAGAAAGGUUAUUUGGGCCUUAAGCUUCAUUUGGACAAAGUUGACCCAUUCCUGAGAAUAAUCCCAUUUAGAAAAACAUUUAGAG